UGGAUAAGCUAGAAGAGCAUUCCUCGCGACUCUCUUUCCCCAUAUGGAGUUUGUCUCUCACCCCAAUUGACCUCUCGCCCCGCCAGUUCUGCCUCGGACGCCCUCGACCUCGAGCUCCACUACUUCGGUUCACGGGAGAAAGAACAUUGCAUGGAAGAGCGGGAAUAUGAUGAAGAAUAACUCGGUGAUGAACAUGCGAAUUAGGAAGCCUCUUAGUCAGAAUGCAUGUAUGGUUAAGGCAGAUGGCAUGGGUCCACGUUACCGUUGAAGAUUUCCGUUGCGAGUGUUUAUGUGUUGUUUGGCCUUGAUGGCCCUAUCUAUCUAAGACUUGACCAUAAUGGUCAUAAUUUAUGUAAGACGGUGUGUAAUGGAUUUAAGACCCUUGUUAUUUAGUUUCUUUGUGUUCAGUGAG